rnacentral:rRNA from 1 species
CUCAAAUCAGGUAGGACUACCCGCUGAACUUAAGCAUAUCAAUAAGCGGAGGAAAAGAAACUAACAAGGAUUCCCCUAGUAACGGCGAGUGAAGCGGGAAGAGCUCAAAUUUGAAAUCUGGUGGCCUCAGGCUAUCCGAGUUGUAAUCUAUAGAAACAUUUUCCGCGUUGGCCCAUGUACAAGUCUCUUGGAAUAGAGCGUCAUAGAGGGUGAGAAUCCCGUCCUUGACAUGGACUACCAGUGCUUUGUGAUAUGUUUUCAACGAGUCGAGUUGUUUGGGAAUGCAGCUCAAAAUGGGUGGUAAAUUCCAUCUAAAGCUAAAUAUUGGCGAGAGACCGAUAGCGAACAAGUACCGUGAGGGAAAGAUGAAAAGCACUUUGGAAAGAGAGUUAAACAGUAUGUGAAAUUGUUGAAAGGGAAACGAUUGAAGUCAGUCGUGUCUAUUGGACUCAGCCGGUUCUGCCGGUGUACUUCCUUUAGAUGGGGUCAACAUCAGUUUUGAUCGCUGGAAAAGGGCAGGAGGAAUGUAGCACUCUCGGGUGAACUUAUAGCCUUCUGUCGCAUACAGUGGUUGGGACUGAGGAACGCAGCUUGCCUUUAUGGCCGGGAUUUAUCCACGUA